UACGGGGGGAGCAAGCGUUGUUCGGAUUUACUGGGCGUAAAGGGCGCGUAGGGGCCACCGCAAGUCGGUUGUGAAAUCUCCGGGCUUAACCCGGAAAGGUCAACCGAUACUGCGGGGCUAGAGUGCAGAAGGGGCAACUGGAAUUCUCGGUGUAGCGGUGAAAUUCGUAGAUAUCGAGAGGAACACCUGCGGCGAAGGCGGGUUGCUGGGCCGACACUGACGCUGAUGCGCGAAAGCCAGGGGAGCGAACGGG
rnacentral:rRNA from 1 species